CCUACGGGGGGCAGCAGUGGGGAAUAUUGCACAAUGGGCGAAACCCUGAUGCAGCGACGCCGCGUGAGUGAGGAAGUAUCUCGGUAUGGAAAGCUCCAUCAGUAGGGAAGAAAAUGACGGUACCUGACUAAGAAUCCCCGGCUAACUACGUGCCAGCAGCCGCGGUAAUACGUAGGGGGCAAGCGUUAUCCGGAUGUACUGGGUGUAAAGGGAGCGUAGGCGGCUAAUCAAGUCAGAAGUGAAAACCCAGGGCUCAACUUUGGGACUGCUUUUGAAACUGGGUAGCUAGAGUGCAGGAGAGGUAAGCGGAAUGCCUGGUGUAGCGGUGAAAUGCGUAGAUAUUAGGAGGAACACCAGUGGCGAAGGCAGCUUACUGGACUGUAACUGACGUUGAGGCUCGAAAGCGUGGGGAGCAAACAGGAUUAGAUACCCGUGUAGUC
rnacentral:rRNA from 1 species